rnacentral:tRNA from 1 species
UGUGAGAUGGCCGAGUUGGUCUAAGGCGCCAGAUUAAGGUUCUGGUCCGAAAGGGCGUGGGUUCAAAUCCCACUCUCGACAAUACUAGAUC